rnacentral:rRNA from 1 species
GCUCUACUUAUUCCCUCUAUUCCUCGGUUCCCCAAUUCCGCCAAACGAUACUAUGGCAUGAACGGUGCGUUGCGCGCUGAAGCCAGAAACGAAGGUUUUCUGACGUUAAAAAGAUGUUUACUGAUGCCUUCAAGUCAUAUCAAGGCGGCCACUCCAAUUCGGGCGUGGUCGGCCGCAAGCCAUGCGCGAGAUGAUUAAGAGUCAAAAAAAUGCUUCAGGCGGGAAAUGACGUUUGGACAGGCAAGAGCUUCAAAAUACUUAAAUGAACAAAAGUGUGUACAAAAAUUCCGUCUUGGUCUACUUUUUUAGAAGUAAAAGUCGUAACAAGGUUUCCGUAGGUGAACCUGCGGAAGGAUCAUUAUCGAGAGGGGGGUCCUGCGCCCCAGGGGCCUGCCCCGCACCUUUCCACCCUUUUGUGUAUCUUCCACCGUUGCUUUGGCGGGCCCCGGGGCCCACCCCCCCCGGCGCUGGCCCUGUUACAGGGGCUGGCGAGCGCCCGCCAGAGGCCCAUCCAAACACUUUAUGUCAGUGCAGUCUGAGUUUACGAAUAAUCAAUCAAAACUUUCAACAACGGAUCUCUUGGUUCUGGCAUCGAUGAAGAACGCAGCGAAAUGCGAUAAGUAAUGUGAAUUGCAGAAUUCAGUGAAUCAUCGAAUCUUUGAACGCACAUUGCGCCCUUUGGUAUUCCGAAGGGCAUGCCUGUUCGAGCGUCAUUACACCCCUCAAGCAUUGCUUGGUAUUGGGCGUUCGCCCCCCCGGCUCCGGGGAGCGCGCCCGAAAUUCAGUGGCGGUCCAGUUAGACUUUAAGCGCAGUAAACUUUUGUUCGCUUUGGAAGCCUUCUGCCUGCGGCCCCGCCAGCGAAACCUUUUACCCCCCAUAAUGACCUCGGAUCAGGUAGGAUGCCGUAC